UGCAGUCGAACGGAGUUCUUCGGAACUUAGUGGCGGACGGGUGAGUAACGCGUGAGAAUCUGGCUUCAGGUUCGGGACAACAGUCGGAAACGAUUGCUAAUACCGGAUGUGCCCUAGGGUGAAAGAUUUAUCACCUGAAGAUGAGCUCGCGUCUGAUUAGCUAGUUGGUGUGGUAAGAGCGCACCAAGGCACCGAUCAGUAGCUGGUCUGAGAGGAUGACCAGCCACACUGGGACUGAGACACGGCCCAGACUCCUACGGGAGGCAGCAGUGGGGAAUUUUCCGCAAUGGGCGAAAGCCUGACGGAGCAAUACCGCGUGAGGGAGGAAGGCUCUUGGGUUGUAAACCUCUUUUCUCAGGGAAUAAGUACUGAAGGUACCUGAGGAAUCAGCAUCGGCUAACUCCGUGCCAGCAGCCGCGGUAAUACGGAGGAUGCAAGCGUUAUCCGGAAUGAUUGGGCGUAAAGCGUCCGCAGGUGGUUUUUCAAGUCUGCUGUCAAAGAAUCUGGCUCAACCAGAUAAAGGCAGUGGAAACUGAAAGACUAGAGUAUGGUAGGGGUAGAGGGAAUUCCUGGUGUAGCGGUGAAAUGCGUAGAGAUCAGGAAGAACACCGGUGGCGAAAGCGCUCUGCUGGACCAUAACUGACACUGAGGGACGAAAGCUAGGGGAGCGAAUGGGAUUAGAUACCCCAGUAGUCCUAGCCGUAAACGAUGGAUACUAGGCGUUGCCCGUAUCGACCCGGGCAGUGUCGUAGCCAACGCGUUAAGUAUCCCGCCUGGGGAGUACGCACGCAAGUGUGAAACUCAAAGGAAUUGACGGGGGCCCGCACAAGCGGUGGAGUAUGUGGUUUAAUUCGAUGCAACGCGAAGAACCUUACCAGGGCUUGACAUGUCCGGAAUCUUCUGGAAACGGAAGAGUGCCUACGGGAGCCGGAACACAGGUGGUGCAUGGCUGUCGUCAGCUCGUGUCGUGAGAUGUUGGGUUAAGUCCCGCAACGAGCGCAACCCUCGUUCUUAGUUGCCAGCAAUUCGGUUGGGCACUCUAGGGAGACUGCCGGUGACAAACCGGAGGAAGGUGGGGAUGACGUCAAGUCAGCAUGCCCCUUACGUCCUGGGCUACACACGUACUACAAUGCUGUGACAAAGGGCAGCAAGCUAGCAAUAGCAAGCAAAUCCCAUAAACCACGGCUCAGUUCAGAUCGCAGGCUGCAACUCGCCUGCGUGAAGGAGGAAUCGCUAGUAAUUGCAGGUCAGCAUACUGCAGUGAAUUCGUUCCCGGGCCUUGUACACACCGCCCGUCACACCAUGGAAGCUGGUCACGCCCGAAGUCGUUACCCUAACCGUUCGCGGAGGGGGACGCCGAAGGUAGGACUGGUGACUGGGGUGAAGUCGUAACAAGGUAGCCGUACCGGAAGGUGUGGCUGGAUCACCUCCUUUUUAGGGAGACCCAAAUCGAUUCAAAAGUCAAAAAUCAAAAUUCUCAAACAGGAAUUUGGAUUUAUCAUAUAACUUUGAAUUGAUUUUAUCCCGAGGUCGGUCGCAAGCAUAGUGUAAGCUUUCAAACUAUAAGUUAGGUUCGGAUAUGGGCUAUUAGCUCAGGUGGUUAGAGCGCACCCCUGAUAAGGGUGAGGUCCCUGGUUCGAGUCCAGGAUGGCCCACCUGAAGUCAAUUCCAAAGUUAAAAUGAUCAAUUCAAAAAAACUUUGAAUUUUGAAUUUUGAGUUUUGAAUUGCUUGGGGGGGUAUAGCUCAGUUGGUAGAGCGCCUGCUUUGCAAGCAGGAUGUCAGGAGUUCGAGUCUCCUUACCUCCACCUGCUCCCUAAGUAAUUAAGUUUUGUGAUUCCACCCUUGUUGAGUGUACUCAAAUAGCAGCAAAUAAAAAGAGAGUGCACGCAAGUGAGAAAAGCAAAAGCAAAAUUAUCAUCCGAAAAGGAAUUGGAGAAAAAUCAGCAUCUUGUGAGAUAAAGCAAGAAUGCUGGGAAAUUUCCAGCAAAAGAACCUUGAAAACUGCAUAGAAACGCGAAAAUUGUCAGGUAGUUAACUAUCAACAACAGUUAACACUCCAAACAAAAGCAGCAAUGAUUGUU
rnacentral:rRNA from 1 species